CGGGAGGCAGCAGUGGGGAAUAUUGCACAAUGGGCGCAAGCCUGAUGCAGCCAUGCCGCGUGUGUGAAGAAGGCCUUCGGGUUGUAAAGCACUUUCAGUCGUGAGGAAGGUAGUGUAGUUAAUAGCUGCAUUAUUUGACGUUAGCGACAGAAGAAGCACCGGCUAACUCCGUGCCAGCAGCCGCGGUAAUACGGAGGGUGCGAGCGUUAAUCGGAAUUACUGGGCGUAAAGCGCAUGCAGGUGGUUUGUUAAGUCAGAUGUGAAAGCCCGGGGCUCAACCUCGGAAUUGCAUUUGAAACUGGCAGACUAGAGUACUGUAGAGGGGGGUAGAAUUUCAGGUGUAGCGGUGAAAUGCGUAGAGAUCUGAAGGAAUACCGGUGGCGAAGGCGGCCCCCUGGACAGAUACUGACACUCAGAUGCGAAAGCGUGGGGAGCAAACAGGAUUAGAUACCCUGGUAGUCCACGCCGUAAACGAUGUCUACUUGGAGGUUGUGGCCUUGAGCCGUGGCUUUCGGAGCUAACGCGUUAAGUAGACCGCC
rnacentral:rRNA from 1 species